GAUGAACGCUGGCGGCGUGCCUAAUACAUGCAAGUCGAGCGAACAGACGAGGAGCUUGCUCCUCCGACGUUAGCGGCGGACGGGUGAGUAACACGUGGAUAACCUACCUAUAAGACUGGGAUAACUUCGGGAAACCGGAGCUAAUACCGGAUAAUAUAUUGAACCGCAUGGUUCAAUAGUGAAAGACGGUUUUGCUGUCACUUAUAGAUGGAUCCGCGCCGCAUUAGCUAGUUGGUAAGGUAACGGCUUACCAAGGCAACGAUGCGUAGCCGACCUGAGAGGGUGAUCGGCCACACUGGAACUGAGACACGGUCCAGACUCCUACGGGAGGCAGCAGUAGGGAAUCUUCCGCAAUGGGCGAAAGCCUGACGGAGCAACGCCGCGUGAGUGAUGAAGGUCUUCGGAUCGUAAAACUCUGUUAUUAGGGAAGAACAAAUGUGUAAGUAACUAUGCACGUCUUGACGGUACCUAAUCAGAAAGCCACGGCUAACUACAUG
rnacentral:rRNA from 1 species